GACGAACGCUGGCGGCGUGCCUAAUACAUGCAAGUAGAACGCUGAAGAGAGGAGCUUGCUCUUCUUGGAUGAGUUGCGAACGGGUGAGUAACGCGUAGGUAACCUGCCUGGUAGCGGGGGAUAACUAUUGGAAACGAUAGCUAAUACCGCAUAAAAUUGAUUAUUGCAUGAUAGUCAAUUGAAAGGUGCAACUGCACCACUACCAGAUGGACCUGCGUUGUAUUAGCUAGUUGGUGGGGUAACGGCUCACCAAGGCGACGAUACAUAGCCGACCUGAGAGGGUGAUCGGCCACACUGGGACUGAGACACGGCCCAGACUCCUACGGGAGGCAGCAGUAGGGAAUCUUCGGCAAUGGACGGAAGUCUGACCGAGCAACGCCGCGUGAGUGAAGAAGGUUUUCGGAUCGUAAAGCUCUGUUGUAAGAGAAGAACGAGUGUGAGAGUGGAAAGUUCAC
rnacentral:rRNA from 1 species